rnacentral:rRNA from 1 species
AGCGGUGAAAUGCGUAGAGAUCGGGAAGAACAUCGGUGGCGAAAGCGCUCUACUGGACGGCAACUGACACUCAGGGUCGAAAGCUAGGGGAGCGAAUGGGAUUAGAUACCCCAGUAGUCCUAGCUGUAAACGAUGGAUACUAGGUGUAGCUUGUAUCGACCCGAGCUGUGCCGAAGCUAACGCGUUAAGUAUCCCGCCUGGGGAGUAGGCACGCAAGUGUGAAACUCAAAGAAAUUGGCGGGGGCCCGCACAACCGGUGGAGUAUGUGGUUUAAUUUGAUGCAACGCGAAGAACCUUACCAGGGCUUGACAUGUCAUGAAUCCCACUGAAAAAAGAGAGUGCCUUCGGGAGCCGAGAACACAGAUGGUGCAUGGCUGUCGUCAGCUCGUGUCGUGAGAUGUUGGGUUAAUUACCCCAACAAGCGCAACCCUCCUUUUUAUUUGCCACCAUUAAGUUGGGCACUCUAGAGAGACUACCGGUGCCAAACCAGAGGAAGGUGGGGAGGACAUCA